rnacentral:tRNA from 1 species
GGUGUGGCUCAGCUUGGCUAGAGCGCCUGGUUUGGGACCAGGAGGUCGCAGGUUCGAAUCCUGUC